GAGUUUGAUCCUGGCUCAGGAUUAACGCUGGCGGCAUGCCUAAUACAUGCAAGUCGAACGGAGUAGCAAUACUUAGUGGCGAACGGGUGAGUAACACGUAUCUAAUCUACCAUUUAGUGGGGAAUAACUGUUGGAAACGACAGCUAAUACCGCAUAAUAUUGCUGGAUAAUUUCCAGUAAUGAAAGGAGCUUUCAAGCUCCGCUGAUUGAUGAGGAUGCGGCGCAUUAGCUAGUUGGUAGGGUAAUGGCCUACCAAGGCAAUGAUGCGUAGCCGAUCUGAGAGGAUGAACGGCCACAUUGGGACUGAGACACGGCCCAAACUUCUACGGAAGGCAGCAGUAGGGAAUUUUUCACAAUGGGCGAAAGCCUGAUGGAGCAAUGCCGCGUGACUGAUGAAGGUCUUCGGAUUGUAAAGGUCUGUUGUAAGGGAAGAAAUGGUAAAACAGGAAAUGGUUUUAUCUAUGACGGUACCUUACCAGAAAGCCACGGCUAACUAUGUGCCAGCAGCCGCGGUAAUACAUAGGUGGCAAGCGUUAUCCGGAUUUAUUGGGCGUAAAGGGUGCGUAGACGGUUUUGCAAGUCUGA
rnacentral:rRNA from 1 species